AACUAAUGAAAUCACUCCAAAUAGCCAUAGUCACUAGCAAAGUGUUUAGUGCCAAACAUAUGGUAUUCUGAAG
ensembl:snoRNA